CGCCGCAAGGCGGCUGCCAGCCAUUUUGU
rnacentral:piRNA from 1 species